AACGAACGCUGGCGGCAUGCCUAACACAUGCAAGUCGAACGAGACCUUCGGGUCUAGUGGCGCACGGGUGCGUAACGCGUGGGAACCUGCCCUUAGGUUCGGAAUAACUCCCCGAAAGGGGUGCUAAUACCGGAUAAUGUCUUCGGGCCAAAGAUUUAUCGCCUUUGGAUGGGCCCGCGUUGGAUUAGCUAGUUGGUAGGGUAAAAGCCUACCAAGGCGACGAUCCAUAGCUGGUCUGAGAGGAUGAUCAGCCACACUGGGACUGAGACGCGGCCCAGACUCAUACGCGAGGCAGCAGUGGGGAAUAUUGGACAAUGGGCGAAAGCGUGAUCCAGCAAUGCCGCGUGAGUGAUGAAGGCCUUAGGGUUGUAAAGCUCUUUUACCCGGGAUGAUAAUGACAGUACCGUGAGAAUAAGCCCCGGCUAACUCCGUG
rnacentral:rRNA from 1 species